rnacentral:ncRNA from 1 species
CCAGUCUGCCGGCGUCAGGGUCUUCCGAGUCGAUUGGGCUCGGAGGCUAAGAGGGAAGCCGGUGCGAUGCUCCGAAAGGAGCGCCAAGACCGGCGCUGCCCCCGCAACUGUGAACGGCGAGCUGCUGUCGCUCCAGGCCACUGGUGGAUGUCACCGGGAAGGCGAGACAGACGCGAUGACCCGCAAGCCAGGAGACCUGCCCUGACAGUCGUAACGUCC